CCUACGGGCGGCUGCAGUGGGGAAUAUUGCACAAUGGGGGGAACCCUGAUGCAGCAACGCCGCGUGAAGGAUGAAGGUUUUCGGAUCGUAAACUUCUAUCAGUAGGGAAGAAAACAAUGACAGUACCUAACUAAGAAGCCCCGGCUAACUACGUGCCAGCAGCCGCGGUAAUACGUAGGGGGCAAGCGUUAUCCGGAUUUACUGGGUGUAAAGGGUGCGUAGGUGGCAUGGUAAGUUGGAUGUGAAAGCCCAAGGCUCAACCUUGGGAUUGCAUCUAAAACUGCCAAGCUAGAGUGCAGGAGAGGAAAGUGGAAUUCCUAGUGUAGCGGUGAAAUGCGUAGAUAUUAGGAGGAACACCAGUAGCGAAGGCGACUUUCUGGACUGUAACUGACACUGAGGCACGAAAGCGUGGGUAGCAAACAGGAUUAGAUACCCCUGUAGUC
rnacentral:rRNA from 2 species